rnacentral:rRNA from 1 species
UACAGAGGUCUCAAGCGUUGUUCGGAUUCAUUGGGCGUAAAGGGUGCGUAGGCGGCGCGGUAAGUCGGGUGUGAAAUCUCGGGGCUUAACUCCGAAACUGCAUUCGAUACUACCGUGCUUGAGGACUGGAGAGGAGACUGGAAUUUACGGUGUAGCGGUGAAAUGCGCAGAUAUCAGGAGGAACACCGGUGGCGAAGGCGGGUCUCUGGGCAGUAACUGACGCUGAGGAGCGAAAGCGUGGGGAGCGAACAGG